UACGGGGGGGGGCAAGCGUUUGUUCGGAAUUACUGGGCGUAAAGGGCUCGUAGGCGGCCAACUAAGUCAGACGUGAAAUCCCUCGGCUUAACCGGGGAACUGCGUCUGAUACUGGAUGGCUUGAGUUUGGGAGAGGGAUGCGGGAAUUCCAGGUGUAGCGGUGAAAUGCGUAGAUAUCGGGAGGAACACCUGAGGCGAAGGCGGGCUACUGGGCCGAUACUGACGCUGAUGCGCGAAAGCCAGGGGAGCAAACGGGG
rnacentral:rRNA from 1 species